rnacentral:rRNA from 1 species
CAAUCUGCCCUGCACUUCGGGAUAAGCCUGGGAAACUGGGUCUAAUACCGGAUAGGACCUUUAGGCGCAUGUCUUUAGGUGGAAAGCUUUUGCGGUGUGGGAUGGGCCCGCGGCCUAUCAGCUUGUUGGUGGGGUGAUGCCCUACCAAGGCGACGACGGGUAUCCGUCCUGAGAGGGUGUCCGCCCACACUGGGACUGAGAUACGGCCCAGACUCCUUCGGGAGGCACCAGUGGGGAAUAUUGCACAAUGGGCGCAAGCCUGAUACACCGACACCGCGUGGGGGAUGACGCCCUUCGGGUUGUAAACCUCUUUCAGUAUCGCCGAAGCUCCAAGGUUUUCUUUGGGGUGACGGUAGCUACAGAAGAAGCAC